AUUGAACGCUGGCGGCAUGCCUUACACAUGCAAGUCGAACGGUAACAGAUCUUCGGAUGCUGACGAGUGGCGAACGGGUGAGUAAUACAUCGGAACGUGCCUAGUAGUGGGGGAUAACUACUCGAAAGAGUGGCUAAUACCGCAUGAGAUCUACGGAUGAAAGCAGGGGAUCGAAAGACCUUGUGCUACUAGAGCGGCCGAUGGCAGAUUAGGUAGUGGGUGGGAUAAACGCUUACCAAGCCGACGAUCUGUAGCUGGUCUGAGAGGACGAUCAGCCACACGGGGACUGAGACAGGGCCCAGACUCCUACGGGAGUCAGCAGUGGGGAAUGUUGGACAAUGGGCAAAAGCCUGAUCCAGCAAGGCCGCGUGCAGGAUGAAGGACUUCGGGUUGUAAACUGCUUUUGUACGGAACGAAAAGCCCUGGGUUAAUACCCUGGGGUCAUGACGGUACCGUAAGAAUAAGCACCGGCUAACUACGUGCCAGCCGCCGCGGUAACAC
rnacentral:rRNA from 1 species